CAAAAGCCAAAUAAUAAAUUUAUAUGCUCCGUAUUCCUAAAAAAAGAACAAUUUACUGAAACAAAUGAAAUAUACUUAUAAACUACCCCGAAUGGAAGGAAGAAGAUAAGGGGAAUCAAUAAACGUGGUCAAUUUUAAACAGCAAUGGGCCUUAGUGUAGGAGCAGUGUUUCAUGGAGUCCUUAUUGUCCUUUUCUCAUCAAUUAAGACCUCAAGUCUUAGCACAGUUUCAUGCUCCAUGUCAAGAAGCACUGUACAGGUUGUUUCCAACUGUCCAGUCACAAA